CUACGGGCCGCAGCAGUGAGGAAUAUUGGACAAUGGAGGCAACUCUGAUCCAGCCAUGCCGCGUGCAGGAAGACGGCCCUAUGGGUUGUAAACUGCUUUUAUACAGGAAGAAACGCCUCCUCGUGAGGGGGUUUGACGGUACUGUACGAAUAAGGAUCGGCUAACUCCGUGCCAGCAGCCGCGGUAAUACGGAGGAUCCAAGCGUUAUCGGAAUCAUUGGGUUUAAAGGGUCCGUAGGCGGUUUAAUAAGUCAGAGGUGAAAUCCUACAGCUCAACUGUAGAAUUGCCUUUGAUACUGUUAGACUUGAGUUAUUGUGAAGUAGUUAGAAUGUGUAGUGUAGCGGUGAUAUGCAUAGAUAUUACACAGAAUACCGAUUGCGAAAGCAGAUUACUAACAAUACACUGACGCUGAGGGACGAAAGCGUGGGUAGCGAACAGGAUUAGAUACCCCCGUAGUC
rnacentral:rRNA from 1 species